rnacentral:rRNA from 1 species
AUGCAGGAACUAGUAACCUAUCCAAAUCCACGCACAACAUGCACGCAGCUAGUCUCCAUCGAUCUGUCGGUCUCACGAAUCAUGAUCCUCUCUCGCACUUUCUUCUUCUUACAAGAGGCACGCGGCGGCGGCGGCGGCGGCCACCACGGCGACGAGGCUCCUCCAGCCGGCGCCGACGGCUGCGGCGGCUCCGGCGGGCGGGGCCUCCUCCUCGUCCUCGUCGUCGCCCGAGGGCGCCUUGGCUGCCCCCUUGGCCGACGAGGGCUUCUUGCCGGGGGCCGGGGGCGCGGAGGCCGGCGGCUUGGGGCCGAAGAGGUCCAUGGGCAGCAGCACCUUGUCGACGGAGUAGACGGCGAGCGGCCUGGUGGCGCGCAGCGCGGUGCCGACGGUGGUGUGGACGAUCCCGGUGGAGACGUUGACGGCGCUGUUGCUGGUGGCGGUGACGUUGACGGUGCAGGGCCCGUCGGUGCCGGAGGCCUGGGUGCGGACGGGGUUGCUGGCGGUCUCGAAGGACUCCAUGGAGUAGAAGGUGGGGACGAUGUGGGCCUGCACGAGCGUCACCUGGUCCUGCUGCGAGAGCGAGUUGAGGGUGCCCGGCUUGAGGCUGUUGAAGGCGUUGUCGGUGGGGGCGAACACCGUGAAGCCCGUGUCGGAGUCGUUGGCCUGCGCGUUCAGCUGCGUGUCCUGCUGCGUCGACGCCAUCAGCCGGAUGAACUUGGUGUACUGCCCGGCCUUCUCCAGCACCGCCGUCACGUUCGGCGCGGCGGCCGCCUUGGGCGUCGUCCCCGCCGCCGGCGCGUCUGGCGUCUCGGGCGCCUCGGGCGCCGGGGCCGUCGUCUUCUGGCUCAGCGCCGCCGGCACCGCCGCCAGCACCACCGCCAGCAGGAUGAGCGCUCUCCUGGACGACGCCAUUGCUGGAGUGGUGCUAGAUCGAGGUGCUGGCUUGCUUAG